rnacentral:rRNA from 1 species
CGCCUGGGGAGUACGGGUGAGGUAACGGCUCACCAAGGCAUUGACGGGUAGCUGGUCUGAGAGGAUGAUCAGCCACACUGGGACUGAGACACGGCCCAGACUCCUACGGGAGGCAGCAGUAGGGAAUAUUGCACAAUGGGCGAAAGCCUGAUGCAGCAACGCCGCGUGCGGGAAGAAGGCCCUAGGGUUGUAAACCGCUUUCAGCAGGGAAGAAAAUGACGGUACCUGCAGAAGAAGGUGCGGCCAACUACGUGCCAGCAGCCGCGGUGACACGUAGGCACCAAGCGUUGUCCGGAUUUAUUGGGCGUAAAGAGCUCGUAGGCGGUUCAGUAAGUCGGGUGUGAAAACUCUGGGCUCAACCCAGAGACGCCACUCGAUACUGCUGUGGCUCGAGUGCGGUAGGGGAGCGGGGAAUUCCUAGUGUAGCGGUGAAAUGCGCAGAUAUUAGGAGGAACACCAGUGGCGAAGGCGCCGCUCUGGGCCGUAACUGACGCUGAGGAGCGAAAGCGUGGGUAGCAAACAGGAUUAGAUACCCUGGUAGUCCACGCCGUAAACGUUGGGCACUAGGUGUGGGUCUCAACCAACGAGAUCCGCGCCGUCGCUAACGCAUUAAGUGCCCCGCCUGGGGAGUACGG